rnacentral:rRNA from 1 species
UACGUAGGUGGCAAGCGUUGUUCGGAAUUAUUGGGCGUAAAGGGCGCGUAGGCGGUUCGCUAAGUCAGUUGUGAAAGCCCGGGGCUCAACCCCGGAGGGUCGGCUGAUACUGGUGGACUAGAGUACGGAAGAGGUAGCUGGAAUUCCCGGUGUAGCGGUGAAAUGCGUAGAGAUGUGGAGGAACACCGAUGGCGAAGGCAGCCUCCUGGGCCAACACUGACGCUCAUGCACGAAAGCGUGGGGAGCAAACAGG